rfam:Oryza nivara chromosome 10, whole genome shotgun sequence.
UACAAGUACAAUCAUAAAUUUUCACGUCAAAUUUUAAUCGUUCGUCUUAUUUGAAAAAUCUUUAUAAUUAGUAUUUUUAUUGUUAUGAGAUGAUAAAACAUAAAUAGUAUUUUACUCGUGACUUAUGUUUUUAAAUUUUUUUUAAAAAUUUUUAAAUAAGACAGACGAUUAAAGUUGGGCGUGGAAAACCAUAACUGCACUUAUA